GAAUCACAAAUAAAAAACGAAUUAGUUUUAAAAAUAAAUAUAUAAUAUACACGUCAAACAAUAUUAAAAUGUUCCAAUUGUACUUUUACGCCCCUUUUCAGCAGCGAGAAUUACGCAACCGCCGAGGCCUUCGAAAUCAAUAUUUGAAAAGAUCUCUCGACUGUCUUGAAGGUUUCUUACGUCAUAUCCCUGCAGCUGCGCUCGCACGUAUAAAUAGCGCAUUUCAAGGACAAAAAAAGGAAGAGAACUCGUAGGACAGUGCAGAGAAUGAUCAACGCAAUAUAUAAUAGAUUAUCUUUUAAUUCUUGAAAAAUUUAAAUAAUUUAAACUUAAAAAGAAAUAUUUAAAUAGAUAAAAUUCUGGUUUCGUUCCCGUUUUAAUCUCAAAGUUUGGAGAUAAUGUGUAAAUAUGAAGCAAUAAAGAAGAGGAAGAGCAAUAAAAAAGAUAUUUCCGGCCUCGUAUCGAGGAUCGCACAUUUCAUUUUUAUUUUCUCACGUGUUCCCUUGCUGCUUGUCCUAUCAAUGAAAUUCACGAUCUUCUCAUAUAUGUGACCUAAAUUCGCGAAUCGAUCGCAUAUGCCGCAAUGAAGUAUUGUCUCUGGGAGGAAGCCUUCUAACAUUUUAUCUAUUUAAAAAAAUAUAUAUAUAAUUACAAGAAAACGAGAAACGAAAAGAGAUUCAUAUCCAUUACGGAUGAUAGAUCUCGAUAAUCGGUUUUGGUCUAAAUUCAAAGCUUUUUUUUUAUGAGAUGUGCCACAUGCAGAUGGUAAAACACAAUAAUGUAAUGCGUGAUGGUUCGCGCAAGUUGCUAAUGCGCACUUUCUUCAAUUUAUUGACAAAGAACAGGAAAGAAAUCUCAUGACUCUUCCUUUGUACUGAACAAUUGCACAGAACAAGUUUUUGAUCUCGUUUAAGUAAGACAAUAAAACGAUGCAUUUGCCUUAACACCUCGCGUCCUUCGCACUAACGCAUACUAAAUCGUUAACGUAAUCGUUUUUAAUGUUUCUCGUCCGCGGAGAAACAUAUCAUUUAUAACGUUCAGUAUAAUUUUCUUAUUCUGCAAUUUUCUUAUGCACGAGUUUUCGAGUUAAAAAUAAUCAGCUAGCACUACGCACUUUAAAUAUUGCGUACGUAAAUGACAUAACAUUUUCCUUGAAUGUAGCUCCAACUUUUUCAAAAUCAGACGGGACUGAAUAUUGAACACUUUGUUUGAACUUCGUUCACGAAUUACGAUAAUUCGUACCAUCGUAACCGUCUAUGUCUUCGUUCAGACGACGAUCCACGGCUUCUCUCCUCUAUCAGUAUCACGAGCUCGUAACUUAAACGUGACAAUCGACUAUUCGGAGUAUUGUGUUCGGACAGUUAAUCAA